rnacentral:rRNA from 1 species
AUUGAACGCUGGCGGCAUGCCUUACACAUGCAAGUCGAACGGUAACAGGUCUUCGGAUGCUGACGAGUGGCGAACGGGUGAGUAAUACAUCGGAACGUGCCUAGUAGUGGGGGAUAACUACUCGAAAGAGUGGCUAAUACCGCAUGAGAUCUACGGAUGAAAGCAGGGGAUCGCAAGACCUUGUGCUACUAGAGCGGCCGAUGGCAGAUUAGGUAGUUGGUGGGAUAAAAGCUUACCAAGCCGACGAUCUGUAGCUGUUCUGAGAGGACGAUCAGCCACACUGGGACUGAAACACGGGCCAGACUCCUACGUGAGGCAGAAGUGGGGAAUUUUGGACAAUGGGCGCAAGCCUGAUCCAGCAAUGCCGCGUGCAGGAUGAAGGCCUUCGGGUUGUAAACUGCUUUUGUUCGGAACGAAAAGCCCCUUCUUCAUACCCUGGGGUCAUGACGGUACCGUAAGAAUAAGCACCGGCUAACUACGUGCCAGCCGCCGCAGUAA